rnacentral:rRNA from 1 species
AGCGGAGGAACGAUGUGGUUUAAUUCGAUGAUACGCGAGGAACCUUACCCGGGCUUGAAUUGCAGAGGAAGGAUUUGGAGACAAUGACGCCCUUCGGGGUCUCUGUGAAGGUGCUGCAUGGUUGUCGUCAGCUCGUGCCGUGAGGUGUCGGCUUAAGUGCCAUAACGAGCGCAACCCCUCUCCUUAGUUGCCAUCAGUUGAAGCUGGGCACUCUGGGGACACUGCCACCGUAAGGUGUGA